rnacentral:rRNA from 1 species
GACGUAGGGGGCAAGCGUUAUUCGGAAUCAUUGGGCGUAAAGCGCUCGUAGGCGGAUCGGACAGUCGGUGAAGAAAGACCCGGGCUCAACUCGGGGAACGGCACCGAUACUAUCGAUCUUGAGGCAAUCAGAGGGUGAUGGAAUUCCCAGUGUAGAGGUGAAAUUCGUAGAUAGUUGGGAAGAACACCGGUGGCGAAGGCGGCGACCUGGUCCUUGACUGACGCUGAGGCGCGAAAGCGUGGGGAGCAAACAGG